UGUAGCGACUAUUGAAUACACGUACGCAUACUGAAAAGUCUUGAGUUAAACUUUCAGAACAAAUGCAAUACACACCGCCAUGACGGUUGACAGCAUGAUCGUUGGUGCGUGAAUUGAUUGGUAACAGUACUUCUUAGUCUCAACUACAAUGUUUCAGUCAGUUUGCAUAAUAUUGUGAUGGAAGAAUAAUAAAAUGAUUGGACGUUUUUUGUUCUUCGUUUGGAUACUACCGUUCCUUGGAACCCUCAUUUUAGCAUGUGGGGAUGGGCUCUGGGGAUUUUCGUGCUCCAAUACGUGUGCUCAAGGAUGUCAAGAUGAAUGCAAUACUUUAACAGGGGAAUGCAAUUGUACUGACGGCUUUUACGGCCCCAGAUGCGAUAAAACAUGCGGGCGGUGGUGUGUUGAUACGUGUGACAAACACAAUGGAGAAUGCGAAUGUCUUGAUGGCUAUUAUUCAAGUGGUAAUGCCUUCUGUAAUUCUAAAUGUGGCAAUGGUUGCCCGACAGCUUGUCAAAAAACAGGUGGAGCUUGCCCGGUAGAUUGCAUUUCUGGUUUCUUCAACUACCGAUGUUCAUCAGCAUGUGGGCAGGGAUGUCCAAAAACUUCGACAGCAUCUCUGAAAACUUGCCGUAAAUCAGAUGGAGCAUGUCUAGUCGACUGUACUCGUGGUUUUUACAACUUCCGAUGUUCAUCAUCAUGUCAGGCGGGAUGUCCAGGGACAUGUAACAAAAACACUGGCCAUUGCGAUGUGGAAUGCCUUGAUGGAUUUUAUAGCCCGCUUUGUUCACGGUGUGGUACAGGUUGCCCAGAAGUAUGUUAUAAAAAGGAUGGAUCCUGCCCAAUGGAGUGUAUAAACGGCUAUUAUGGAAACAGUUGUUCUUCAACUUGUGGCUACGGUUGUCCAGUUGCAUGUAAUAAAACAAGUGGAUAUUGUCCAAAGAAGUGUAUUGCUGGAUCUUGGAAUAUAUAUUGCAGUAAUAACUGUAGGUAUGGUUGUUCAGCCACUAGUUGCAAUGCCACAAACGGAUACUGUUCAGAAAAAUGCAAGGAAAACUACUACGACUUGGGUUGUAGCAGUUACUGCAGUUCAGGCUGCGAUAAUCCGUGUAACCAAACCACGGGAUACUGUAGAUGUAAGCAGGGAUAUUAUGGAGACAAAUGUUCUGGCGUUUGUAACCAGGAGUGUCUGCUUGGAUGCCAUCAGAAUACAGCAGAAUGGAUUGUGAAAAAUUGCGAUACUUGCUUGCAAGACAUGUGCUACGUUAAUUUAAAAGAAUGUUUGUUUGGUUGCAAAGACCUUUACGAUGUAAAGCAUGUGAUACGUGUUUACCAGAGUACUUUGGGUCCUAUUGUAAUCAAACAUGCUCAAAAGGUUGUCUUGCAAAUAAAUGUAACGACGAAAGUGGUGUCUGCGUUAAUGGCUGCCUGCCGCAGUAUAUUGGUGACAAAUGUGACCAGUGUACAUCGGGACUGUGGGGUGAAGACACAAAUGGAAACUUGAUUUGUUCAUCAACAUGUAAUGAGGGUUGUGCGAACAAUGCAUGUAACGACCGCAGUGGUAUAUGUUAUUUAGGGUGUAAACCUAACUGGUUCGGAUAUAAGUGCAACGCUGAAUGCUCCACAAACUGCCGAUCGGAUGAAGAAACCACACGCUGUUCCGCUGAAAAUGGGACAUGUUAUGGCGAAUGUUUGGAAGGCUUUUUUGACCAUGACUGCAGCAAGAAAUGUGAUGACAAAUGCUUGAACGCUGCAUGUGAUCGAUUAACGGGGGAAUGUACAAACGGUUGUCAAGGGGACAUGAAAGUCAAAGGGUCUUCCUGCGUAAGCGCAAGCGUGGCAGCAAGUUUGAGUCCUUUGAUGAUACCCUUAUCUGUUGGUGCGGGAGCUUUGGUAGUCAUUGCUGUGCUAAUAGUUGCACUGGUUUGCACUCUAAGAAGAAUAUUCCAUCGGAAGAGAGAACAACGAUGCAACGGUACGAAUAUUAAUGCAUUUUUUCUAGAUUAUAUGUUAUGUCUCUAUUUAAGUAUAUAUUAUUUAAUCUUUAAAACUUACUGUUAAGCGUUCUUAAAUAAAUAUUUAAAAAAAUACAUGACCUCGUAAUGAUUAACACUUUUCAAAUGGCCCUUGUACAUUUGAAAUUUCCUAAAAAAAACAUCUUAAAGUAAACAUGUAUACAGUAAAUUAACAAGUUUUUUAUUAUUUGGUAUACGCUAGAAAUUUAAUGUGUUGCAAAUCUUCUAUUUAGACGAUAAUGAGGUUGUUUACGCAAAUUCAUCAACGCCGAACUUGAAGGUAAUUAAUAAGCCUGUUAAAACGAGAAGACCUGUGCCUACACCGGAAAGCAGCGCAUACAGCGAAACAUCAUUGUAUGUCAACACUGGAGAAGGCAUCGGCAAUCCAGGCUAUGAAAAUUGCUAGGCAGUUAUGUGAAAUAAAAACGUUUUGACAUAUGACAUUGAAAAACGGAAAAAGCCGGUCGUCGUUCAUGAAGACAUGAAGCAAGCAAACAAAAUGACGUUAUAGUUUCUUGCUACCGAACAGAAAACUGUUGAUGCAAGUUUGUGCUUGGUAUUAAAUGUUAGGAUAAUUGUUAAGGUAAAUAGGCGAAAUUAAUAAUUCAAAGGUUUACUUCAUGAGCCAUUUCUGCUUGUUGCUGUUGAACACCUUUGGCACUCUUUCGACGAUGACGUAUAUCUAAAAUACUUUUUAAAAGUAACCCGACGGUACACUUCAUGAAUACUUGGACCAUUGUGUAGCUAAACGUAUAGUUAUAUAUAAAAUGCUUUGUUUAUUUCCGCCCUUUUCAUUAGUAUAGAUUUGUCACUUAACAAACUAUAAUGUGUCACACUAUUAAGUAAAAUGCUACGAAUACAUGCAUUUUACUAGCACUAUGUUGUCAGGCCAUUAUUCUUAGCAAUUCACUUAUAAAAGCGGUCGGGCAUACUGUUGAAGAAUGAAAAUUGUAAUUGAUAGUGCCUCAUUAUUUGACCAGUUCUUUCUUCAUUUCAAAGAUAUUGUGUAAAUUCAUCUUGUUGAUUUCUUCCCUUUAACUUCUCAAUUGUUUGCACUGCACUGAUCUCAGGCCUGGACUGUACCUUUCUCACUUAAAGGUACCCCCUUACUCCCAAAUAAGAUUUACCAGGAGUAAUAAAAAGGAUUAAUAAAUAUCGAAAACAAUUGUUUUUAUAAAGGAUACCGUGUUUUAUUUGAAAGAUAGGUGAAAAACGCGGUAUUUCUACCUUAUGAGAUGAUAGUAGAUUACUGUAAAUAUUUUAGGACUCACCAAUCAUUUAAUAUGUGUUAGUUUUCAGCUAUUAAAUACACAGCUACACCCUUGUUAUCAGUAAUUGAUAUAUACCAUAAAUGCAUUAUUUAGUAGAUAGUUAAUGGUUUAUUACUCAAAAUAUAUGUUUGCUAUACAUGAAUGUUGUUUAGGAUCACUGUUUUGCUGCAGAAUUUAGCCAUUCUUAAACAGUAUCUAGGCAUAUAGAACUAAAUGCCCCUCUAGAAUGACUGUAUAAUUCACCCUAUCAUAUUUUGUUCAAACACACACAGUUUUUGUGAUCCCCUGACUGAUACCCAAUCCAACAUAUGGCACUAACGGCGGUGCGUUGGCCGCUUGUGAAGUCCUUUAUCACCAUAUGUGGUCCACAUUGCUAUGUUUCAUCGGUUAAAUAACAUUUUCUUAGUUAAGUCUUCAUAUUUUGUAGAAACAGGAACAUUCCUCCUUUUGACCAUAUCUUAUGUUCUUAUCUAAGACUUUAUUUUCUGUUUUGUGAUGCCCCGGAAUCAUCUUGUCACCAACCUUCAUUUUAUGAAAUCUACAUGCUCACUUCUUCUGCUUGCUACUCUGUCCAUUUUGAUGGUUUUAAACCCAUAUCCACUUUCGUUAUAGCAAUCUCUAACGAUGAUGUAAUUCCUAUUGAUAUACGAUUCCUUAUUUCAAAUUUAUCUUCCUUUUUCAAAAGCAUUCUUCGGUGAAGGUCGAAUGCUACAUUACUCUUACCGACCAUGUCACAUUAUAAGAAAGAUUCACUUCCCUGGAAUCAUAUACAUCCUUGUUUUAUGUGACCAUGUCAGUUACAAGACAGACAAUUGACAAUAACUUUCGCACAAAUUGAAUCAGUGUACUCGCCAUUUUAUUCACCGCAAAACUUUACAUUCUCCUCUAUUUUUUCUUGGUGAAUAUCAGUUCCUACGGUCAAUGAAACGGGAUUCAUACCUCAACACCAGUACAUAUUUGCAUAGUGUAUACUAAUGAAUAUUGAAAAAAUGUUUCUAUAAACAUGUUGAUAUAUGCAUUUAUGAU